rnacentral:rRNA from 1 species
ACACGUAAGGGGCAAGCGUUGUUCGGAAUCACUGGGCGUAAAGGACGCGUAGGCGGGAAGCCAAGUCUGAUGUGAAAUCCUAUGGCUUAACCAUAGAACUGCAUUGGAAACUGGUUACCUAGAGUAUGGGAGGGGGAGAUGGAAUUAGUGGUGUAGGGGUAAAAUCCGUAGAUAUCACUAGGAAUACCGAAAGCGAAGGCGAUCUCCUUGAACAAUACUGACGCUAAGGCGUGAAAGCGUGGGGAGCAAACGGGAUUAGAUACCCUUGUAGUCC